rnacentral:rRNA from 1 species
AGCGACGUCGCGUGCGGGAUGACGGCCUUCGGGUUGUAAACCGCUUUCAGCAGGGACGAGGCCGCAAGGUGACGGUACCUGCAGAAGAAGCCCCGGCUAACUACGUGCC